ACGGACUCGACCUCUCUUAACCUCCUAUGAAUCUCGCGCAAUCCUGCGGGUUGUCCACGCCCUCACGUUCGAAUCCACGAACGCCUCGCACACGUCCGAAUCCACGAACGCCUUGCACACGUCCGAAUCCACGAACGCUACUCGAAUCCACGAGCACACGAUCCGAAUCAACGAACCGCCUUCGAUCACGCCGAAUCCACAACGCCGUCCAUGAAGUACAUCGU
rnacentral:lncRNA from 1 species